UCAAAAUAAAUAAUCGGAUGUUUAUUUCAAUGUGUAGAGGAAAAAAUUCAAUUAAGAAUAGAAAUGAUGAUGCUUAUAGGACCGUAUUCUUUUUAAGCUAUAUACCCUCAAUAACUUCAUGAAUUUCAUCUUUGAGAUCUCAAAUAAACGUUAGCCUGUUGGCAUAGACCUCCUCUUUCACAAGGUUCCAAAAACAGAAGUCGCAAGAUGUAAAAUCACAAGAUCUCGGUGGCCAAUUGUGAUCACCUCUUCGAGAGUAAACAAAUGCUAGAAAUUUUUCUCUUAAAAGAUCGAUGGCUUCGUAUGUCUUGGGUAACAUGUAGUCGUGUUGGAAAUAAAAGUAGUCCAGAGCAAGCCCGUAAGUGGCUGCGCCAGCCUUAUUUCCGACCAUAAGCCGCAGCAAACAGUAACACGUUGAAGAUGGAGAGGCUUUUCAACAAUAAAUCUGGGGUUUUCCGAGCCACAGGUGCGACAAAAAUGCUUAUUGGCGUAGCAGACGAGGUGGAAAUUGACCUCAUCAGUCAGGGUAAAUAAUGAAAUUUUGAGCAGUAUUUCAAUUUGAAAACAUACAUAUUUACAUCACAAGGGGCAGUUACAAGAUGAAGACCCGCUGAGAAUCGACAAAAUUAGUGGUGUUUUUGAAAUGCUUAACACAAUCUGAUUUAUUCGGUUGAUAACAAUAAAUAAAUUUCAUCAAAACAAAAUGUUUUUGUCGAAAUAAAGAUAGAUAUGGCAUGCAAAAUGUAUGUAUGAUAAAUUUGAGUAAUUAAAAAAAAUCCAUUUUUCGCUAAUAAACUAAUAAUACUAGUUUGCUGAUUUCAAAAAUUUCAUUUUACCUCUUCUUUACCGAAAAGUUUAGCGAAAAAUGUCAAAUAAACACAAUGAAUACUCCACAAAAUAAUCUAAUGUUCAUACAUACAUACACGUAUGUAUAUGUAUAUGAAUGAGCGCAUAGCAAAUGCAAUUGCGCUAACAUCGUGCAUACAAACGAAGUAAAAUAUUGCUUCAUUCCAAAUACAUACAUACAUACAUGCAUACAACAAUGGAUCUGAACUGGAAGCUCCCACAAAACUUUCAAGCCAGACAUGAGCCAAGCGCAAAAGCCAUGCAUAUCUAUGCCAGUAUUUAUUUACGCUCUUUCUAUACAUAUGUAUGUGCGAGUACAUGGCAUGGCAUAUGUGCUGGCAUGAAAGCAUUAAAAGUAAAAGGAGAAAAAUAAGCCCAACCACACUUGCAAUAAUAGACAGAGUGCGCGGAGUAAGCGUAUGGCGUACCAAUCCAAGCGCGAAAAAAAAAUACCUUUCACUUUUCAAGGCGAUUUCUGUGCUGUUGGCUACAUACACACAUACAUACAUAUGUACCCACUACACUACGCUGCACUGCAUUAUCGAAGUAUACACAUACAUACAUACAGACGAGCACAUAGAGAGUUACCACAAAUGUAUGAUUCAGCGUGUUGGCAGACCAAAACAUUGCCACAUAUACUUACAUACAUACAUAUAUGUGAUUUAGUUUACAGUAAAUUUAUUGAAUUUAGUUAUAUACACGUAGGCGACUAGUUCAAUUGAGGCAAAUAUUGUUUUAAUAUUUUUGGUGAAAUAAUAUCACACAAUAGGCAGACAUAUCUUUAAUCUUUCGGGAUGCAACAUACAAAAAUUAUCCAAUUUAUAAAUCAAUUACCUCUAAGGACCCAAAGACGCAAUGAAGCUAUUUAGGAAGACCUGUUGUUGUUGCUGUAGAGGCUACGUGAACCCCGCUUAGAUUCUACGCACCUGAAAUGACAGGGAUUUUAGCCGGCCGAGGGAUGUCACUCUUUCGGCGACCUAACCCCGUUAAGGUCAACAGGUAACAACAUUUAAGAAUACCUAACCUCAGAUCUUUGAUUUGUUAUUUAAAGAGAACCAGUCCUUUUUGAAUCCUCCUCUAGUGGCACUAUAUGCUCAAAAUUAUAUUUAUAUGCAUGCACAUACAUACAUACAUAUAUGUAUACACAUUUCGUUAGCAAUAAUGUUUGCAAAACUUUUUAUAUGCAUAUAAGUAAAAAGUGUUUCCCAUGUAGCCCCAACGUGUAUUUUUAUUAGGUGUUGCCUAAGCUUAUUACCCACCCACUGCCAGGUUAUUUUUAUUUCACUCCAUCAGUUAGCUACUUUGAUCUCUGUCGAGACGCCUGCGCACAACGUUAGAGCUUAUUUUUUCUUUUCUCCAAUAUGAAACGUGAGAAUGUGUGGCAAUAACAGCGGUAGAGGUAGUAGAAAGAGAGUGUAAAAAUGGAAAAAUGUUAAGCUAAAUUUAAAUCUGCUUUAUUUUUCCGUACGCGAGACUUUUUCCUUUUUUUUUUGCUUUUAUUGUGCAAUCGGAAUUUUUUUUUUUGUUUGAACGGGCAUGUUGGUUGCUGACUUCAAAAAA